UUCGGAUCCAUUAGAAACAAAAGAACCCCUUAUCCCUCUUUUGCAGAAACCCUAGCGUCAAAAUCUCUCAGCCAAUCUCUCAGCCAAUUCCUUCUUCUUCCCUUCAAUGCACAGCGAUCUACAAGAUGAUAAAGGCGUUUGGUUUAUGAUGUGCUUUUGAAGCAGGCAACUUUAGUUAAAGAUCAAGUUAUUGAGAAGUGAAGAAGUUUGUUCAGAGUAUGCCAAGACACUCUAUUUAGGUCAGUUAGCCUAUUUUUUUGCUCCUUAAAUUUCUUACAAGAAUUUGAAUUUACUUUUUCUUAACUUUAUUUGGGUUAACUGAAUUGUUUAUAAUAUGACAUUUAAAAGAACCAUGCUAAUAGCCCAUAAGAGGCGAAAAGCUAUCUGGGCGAUUUAUGGUGAGGAUUAUGUAUCGGUAUGUCUAAAUGAUGGUUACAAAUGUGAAAAUUUUCUAGAUCGACUUGUGUUAUAGGUUGAAGCUUGAGCUUUCUUAGCAAUAACUGAUUAAAAUGAUGUUGUAUACUUUGAAGGGUCUAUCACGAUACCGUUGAGCUAUCUUUUUUUGGAUUUGUACAAAAUAUUUUGAUAGCAUGGGUAUUUAGACUGGUCAUCCUCUUCCAGCUUCUAUUAUUUCUUUUCUUGAGUGAUGAUGUUGCUUCAGUUGCACUCAUUCCAACUCCAGUUUCAGUUUCAACAAAUCCAAAGUGGCUACUGAACUCGCAUUAAAAUACAUUACACUUAGACCUUUCAGUUGGGAUCAAGAUACUGACAAAGUCAAUGUGAGGGUGUAUUUUUGUGUUAAUUGUCUACCAGUUGUAAGUUUAUAACUAUAUAUUAUUUAUUCUUGCUAGCUUUUAAAUGGAAGGAAAAUUUAUUUACCAGGUACACUUUCUUUUUGUAUCUAGAAGGACCAUUUUCAUUCUUCAUCGUUUUAUGCCUUUUAAUGGGUGAAUGCUUUUGUUACCCACUUAAUUGUGAGUUGGUUGAUUUUGGGUUACCCUUUACCUUUUUAAUCUCUGUCGGGUCAAAUAAAAAACCUAGAUAUGAAGUAAACAGGUCAAAUGGAUUGAAAAUCACCUAAAAUAUAUUAAAGCAUGCAAUCUCUAUCUAUUAGUUUACUUAGAAGGUGAAUAUAGACAUGUUUUGGUAGCCUUCCCACCAGCUAAUGUCAAGUGUAGUUCUUAUUUUCAAGAAAUUAACCGGUGAAUGCUGAGUUUUGAAUAUUAUUUUAUUUUCAUUGUAGUUUGAAUUGACUAUUCAUGCAAUAAAGGUCGUGUUUUUUGUUGCUUACAGGGUAAUACCAACGGUUCUAGGAACAAAACCAGAAUUACUCUGACAAUUUAUGUGUUCUUUUGAACGAAGAUAGAAUCUUGAUUAUAAAAAAGAACUCCAAAUCUAAUGAAUCUGUUUGGUUUCUUGAGGUAAUAGUAUUCACAUUUAUUGAUCUUGAAAUGAUAGCGUUCGUUAGGUUUUAUUAGGUGGACACACAAUUUAGACGAGACCAAAAAAGUUUGAAACAAAAGUUGUUGCUUGGAGUGAGGGGUUAUUGGUAAUGCUGAGCGGCCCAUAGUAAUUAGUAGCCCGUGUAUGUCGGGUUUGUAAUAUGUCAAAAACGUUUUGUCAAGUGAUGGUUUGAUUUGAAUUCACUAAAUUUUAUGGUUUGCAAGUAUAUC
rnacentral:lncRNA from 1 species